GUGAGGAAUAUUGCGCAAUGGGCGAAAGCCUGACGCAGCGACGCCGCGUGGAGGAUGAAGGUCUUCGGAUUGUAAACUUCUGUUAAGUGGGAAGAAAGGGCUGCUUUUAAUAGAAGCAGUUAAUGACGGUACCAUUAAAGAAAGCACCGGCUAAACUCGUGCCAGCAGCCGCGGUAAUACGAGUGGUGCAAGCGUUAUUCGGAAUAAUUGGGCGUACAGGGUGUGUAGGCGGUAUGUUAAGUCUGUUGUUAAAGACUCCGGCCUAACCGGAGACAGGCAGCGGAAACUGGCGUACUAGAGGGUGGAAGAGAGAAGUGGAAUUCUCGGUGUAGCGGUAAAAUGCGUAGAUAUCGAGAGGAACACCGAUGGCGAAGGCAGCCAUCUGGCCUAAUACUGACACUGAGGUGCGAAAGCAUGGGGAGCAAACAGGAUUAGAAACCCGGGUAGUCC
rnacentral:rRNA from 1 species